rnacentral:rRNA from 1 species
GACGAACCGUCCAAACGUUAUUCGGAAUCACUGGGCUUACAGAGUUCGUAGGCGGGAUGGCAAGUCGGUCGUGAAAUCCCUCGGCUCAACUGAGGAUCGUCGAUCGAUACUGCCGUUCUUGAGGAUUGCAGAGGAGACUGGAAUUCCCGGUGUAGCGGUGAAAUGUGUAGAGAUCGGGAGGAACACCGGUGGCGAAGGCGGGUCUCUGGGCAAUUCCUGACGCUGAGGCGCGAAAGCGUGGGGAGCAAACGGG